AAUUCUUAGGUUCUUAUUGGAUCAUAUGGUGUGCUUAUGUAUAGCUCUGAAAAAAAAAAAACUUAAACUUUUAAAAGUGAUGAGCUAUUAUGUAUUCCACCAGCAAUGAAUGAGAAUUCUGGUUUUACAUCUUCCAAUCAAUACUGCAUUGAAGAAGGUUGUAGCCAUUGAAUGCACUUGAAGUGCCGACACAGCAUUGUGGGUCAUUUUUCCUCAUGUCAGGUGUAGCUGAGCAGCAUUUCUAUGCUUCUUUGCCAGAAAAUACAGGGACUUUAUUAUAAUCCUAAUGGGGCAGAAGUUCCCUGGGUUCUGCAGACAGAACCAACAAAAUACUGGACUACAUUACCCACAAUCCAUGGGGGGAGGGGUCACCUCAUGGGACCACUGCCCCCAAUAAACUGACAAAAUGCUGGACCACAUUACCCAGAGCCCUCAGGGUCAGAAACUUUUAGGAGAAUUAUUUCCACCUCUUUUCAUGAGUGGGAAAAAGUCUGGACUAAAUAACAUACAAUCCUAAGGAAGGUGAAUCCCGAGGAUACCCCAUGAAGAGCCAGCAAAAUGCCAGCAAAAUGCUGAACUAUAUUACAACAAGAAUAGAGUUAGGAUUUGGGUUUUUCUGGCUCUCCUUGGGUAUCCCGGACGCUUCCUCACCCUAAGGAUUAUGGGUGAUGUAGUCCUUGAUCUUACCCACACACCUCUGCCAGGAGACCCCUGAAAGCUGAAUGCACAUGUUUGCCUUUAUACCCUGAGGACUCUGAGUAAUUUUGGGUGUAGGGGUAGGACUAGGCAAAAAUUAGCCACAAGGCAAAAGUUAGUGAGAUUUACAAAACCAAAAGUUCUCCUUGAAUUUCCACCAAUAAGGACCAUGGGUAAUAUAAUAACCACUGACACUGGAGAUCCUGGGAACUUUCUCCCUUUAGGAUAAUGGAUUAUGUAGUCCCAAUAUUUCCCGCUCUUAGCUUGGUAUUGUGGGAGGCAUUCCCAAAUAUUGUGGGUGAAGUAUUAAGAGGUUUAAGGCUCAUGUUUAGGAAUUCUGGGUAAUUCCUCCCACCAACUCACAUGGAACUGUGGGUAACAUAAUCCCAUGUUUUAUUCAAACUGGAGAAUUGUUGGUGAUUCCUCCCCUGUUAGAGUUGUGGGUAAUGUAGUUUCAUAAUUUAUUGGCUCUUUACAGAGGAUCUUGGGAACUUCUUCCCUCCUAAGAUUAUGGGUAACAUAGUCCAAAUUUCCUGCCCACUGCUGGGCAUUCUGGGCGCCUCCACCCUGAGGAUUUUAGGUAAUGUAGUCCCAUGAUUUGCCCUCUCCAUGCGAAUAAUUCUGGGAACUUCCUGUGCCAUAGAAUUGUGAGUCAUAUAGUCCCACUUAUUACAUAGUGGGGGCCUUGUGGAAGCUUCCUUUCCUGUGGACUUCUUACUCUCCCCAGUUAGGAUUGUGGGUAAUGCAGUCUUGGGUUUAUCACUCACUGGGGGAUUCUGGGAGAUUCCUCCCCCAUAAAGAAUUAAAAAGUACAGUCUCAGGUUUAUCUAGGCCUAUGGGUUCCUGGAAUAUCUUUGCCUUACAUAAUACAGUUCCAAAAUUUAUGAAUAAUAGGAUCCUGGUUUUUGCUUGAUAACCAUUGGCAGUGCUGGGAGCUUCCCUUUUUUCUUGGUAUUGUGAGUAGUGUAGUCCCUGGUUUAACCAGCUCACAGUAGGGAGUUAGGAGUUUCUAAACCUUAGUCUGUACGCGAUACUGUUACCACUGUUGACCGGUGACGAGUCCUUGCUUCCCUGAUGUUGAAGAAUAACACUUUGGGACUUCAUUAACGUUCCAUGAGUUGUCCUGUGUUUUCCCUGAGUCAUUCUCCGCAUGGCCUCCAUUUUAGAUUUCACUCGAUAUUAGACCCAAUUUACCUAACUACAUUGACUACCUAAUUUUAAAUCUGGCUUCAUUACAUUCCUGGGUUCACCACUCAUGACAGAGGAUCUUGGGAACAUCCUCCCAUUGAGAUUGUAGACAAUGUAGUCCCACAAUUUUUGUGCUUGGCACUGGGUACCCUGGGAUAUUGCUCCCUUUAGGAUUGUGGGUAAUGUAGUCCCAAGUUUUACCUGAUCAUUUUAGGGAAUCUGUUAGAGUCUGUAAACAAGUCAAAAUAAAUCUUGGGAAUUUCUUCCCAUAUUAGGAUUGUGGGUAAACUGGAUUGUGGGUAAACUAGACCUCUUUAGAAUUGGAGGUAAUACAUUUCCAAAAUUUAUUUGCUUGCUUCAGGGAUUCCUGGAAAACUUGUUCAAAAAUUAUUGUGGGCACUGUAGUCCUAUUUGAUAGCCCAUUGGAAAAUCUUGGUGUUUACUACCCCUUGGGAUUGUGGAAAAUGUAGUCCUUGGAAUACCCCUCAAUGUUGAGGAUCCUGGGAACUUUCCAAGGAUUGUAGAUAAUGUAGUGCCAAGUUUUGACUGCAGACUGCAGUGAUUCCUGGAAAACAUUCACAAAGGGUUUUGGGCACUGUAAUUCAAUUUGACAGUUCACUGAUCGGCAACCAUGGUGUUUUCUGCCCCUUAGAAUUGUUGGCAAGUUAGUUAUUGGAAUUUUCCUCUUGCUGUAGAGGAUUCUGGAAACUUCCUCCCUAAGAACUGUGGAUAAUAUAACCCCCAAAUUUGUCUGCUUACUGCAGAGAAUUCUGAGAAAUUUGUCCAUGUAGGAUUGUGGAUAAGAAAUAUUUGUUAUUUAUCACACAGCAGGAAAAUUUGGGAGCAUACAGUGUCAUAACUUUGUGGGUUUUGUAGUCCUUGGAAUUGCCCUCUUACUGUGGAGGAUCCUGGGAACUACUUCACUAAGUAUUAUAGUGAAUGUUGUCUCAUAAUUUGCCAGAUGACUGUAGGGAUUACUAGGAAACUUGUGCAAUAAAAAGAAGUGGCCAUCAGUGAGCAGUCAAAUUGGACUAAUUUGACUGCUCACUGAUGGACACUUGAAGGAUCUUAACACUUACAAUUGUUGACAAUGUAUUCCUUGGAUUUACCUUCUCAAUGUAGAGUAUCUGGGGAAACUCCUACCUAAAGAUUAUGGGUAAGGUAGUCUCACACUUUGAUUGAACACUGCAGAGAUUCUGGGAAAUGUGUCCAUGUGGCAUGGUGGAUAAUGUAGUCUAGCAAUUUCACCACUCAUUUCAGGAACACUUGAAAGCUUCAAGGACCAUAGGACUGUGGAUAAUGCAAUAUUUAAAACUGCCACCAAGCUGCAGAGAAUCCAAGGAAACUAUUUCCCUAAGGAUUAUAGGUAAUGAAACUCAAAAAUUUUAAUGCUAACUGCAGGGUUUAAGGUAAAAUUGUUAGGGUUAUGGUUAGUGUUAAGGUUAGGGUUAGGGUUAGGGGUUAGGAUUAGGGUUAGGCUCAGUGAACUGAUUUCUAUGAUAUCAAGACUCACAGAAAUAUUAGACCCUACAUGGAAAACUGGGGAAUUGAGGCUCUGUGAAGGUACCACUCCCAGAGUUACUGGCUAUAUGUGCAUAACCACAGAAUAGGGUUUCUAUUAUAGGCAGUUUCACUGGCUCCUGAACUCUGUGAAGAACCAUAUAACUCAUCUUAUAUGAUGGUAGGAUACAGACAGGGACUUUGGGUUAUAUGAUGGCAGGACUCUUAGGCCUGCUGAGGUGUAUGUGGAGAGCCACUUAGGCCUGCUGAGCACAAUGUGGAGCAUAGUUAACUAUUUCUAUUACGUUAGAAUUCCCAGAACUGUUGAGAUAUAACUAUGAUUCUUGGGAUCAAUGAUGACAAACCUACCAUAUCAUCUUAGGUCUAUGGGAGCCAUAUAACUGGUCUUCUAUUAUGGCAGGAUUCAUAGUCUGCUGACCUCUAUGUGUAGAAAACAGAACCAGUUUCUAUGAUGGGAGGAAAGCAAAGCUGCUGGUAUCUACAAAGAGAGUCAGAAAAGUUGUGGUUGUAUUUUCUAAGGAUCCCCAGGUAUUCUGAGCUUUACUUGAGAUCCAGAUAAUUGGUGUCUAAUGAUAGCAGUUAUGAAAGGUCUGUUGGUCUCCAUUUGGAAAGCAAGUGAAAUUGGAUUCAAUUGUGGUAGAAGUCAAAUGACUGAUUUACUGUACGUCCAAAGCCAGGUAACUGAGUUUCUCUCAUGUCAGAACACACAGAGCUGCUCAGCUGUAUGUGCAGACAGAGAAAUGGGUUUCUGUGAUGGUAGCAACCCCAGGGCUUCUAAACUCUGUGCGGCCAGCUAGGGAUCUGAGUUUCUUUUGUUGGCAAUGUGAUUAUUGUUGCUGGGUCUACAUAUAGAGACAGCUAACUGACAUUAUAGGAUGGCAAGACAUGCAAGACUGCCAGAUUCUACUUUGAGAGUCAGGGAAAUAGGGUUUUAUGAUGAUAGGUGUUUGAAGGCUGCUGGACGUUAUUUUGAAAUCCAGGCAACAGGGUUUAAAUUAAGGCUGAUCCAAGGACGGCAUGGCUCUUCAUGGAGGCCUAGUCAAUUGCAAUCUAUCAUUUCAUAAUACCCAAAGCUGCCUUAAAAAAUGAGGAGUCAUAGAACUGGGCUUCUUUGAUGACAGGACACCCAAGACUAUUUGGAUCUCUGUGGAGAGUCAAAAAAUGGAGUUUCUAUAAUGACAAAACUGAUAGGCAUGUUAGGUUUUUCAUGGAUAGCCAGAGAACAGGAGAAAUAAAAUGGCAGGGAUCCCAAGUCUUCAUGAUCAUAUUUGAAGAGUCAAGGAACUGGAGUACUGAUAACAGGAAAUCUCCAUGCUGUAGAAUUCUUUGUGGAGUGCCAGGGAAUAGAUUUGACACUAUAAUGGUGAUACUCACACAGUUGUUGAGAUUUAUCUGUCCUAGGGAAAUGGGGUUAUAUGAUGACAGGACUCUGAGUACUUUUGGGAUCUUGCUAAAACAAAACAAAACAAAACAAAACAAAAAACCCCCAGGGAUAUGGGCUAUAUUGUUGGAGGGACUCCCAAAGCUUAUGGGCUCUAUGUGCAGAGAUAGGAAACUACGUUUCUGUGGUUACAGCAAACCUGGAGCUGCUGGGCUUUAUGUGGAGUAAAAGUACAGUGGGAUUUCAUUGCUGGCAGGAUUUGUAAUGUUACUGGACACCUCUAUUUGGACAUCAAGGGAACUGAGAUUUUAUAACAGAAUUCACAAUUCAACUGAGCUCUAUGUAGACAGAGGGGAACUUGGUUCUAUGAUGGCAGGGGACUGAAGUUCUAUGAAGGUGGGUCUCACAGGGCUGCUGGGCUAUAUGUGGAGAGUCAGAUCAUGGGGUUUCAAUAAUUUUGUGUCUCCCAGCACUACUACAUCCUGUGUGGAGAGCUGGGGAACUUGGGUUCUAUGGUGGCAGCACACACAGGCCAGCAGAUCUGCAUAUGGGGAGAAGAAAACUGGUUUCUACAAUGACAGGAUGGCAGGGCUUUGGGGAUCUGUAUGCAGAGCUAGAGUCUUGGAUUACACGUUGGCAGAAAUCACAGGGCUGCUGGAAUCUAUCUAAAGAAGGAGGGACCUUUUUUUCUAUGAUGUCAGGGAAUGUAUGGCUGCUAAGCUGUAUAUGGAGAGGAAUAAAAUGAUGCUUAUAAUGACAAGAUACAUAAGUCUGCUGAAAUCUACAUUGGGAGUGUAGAAUCUUGGUUUCUACACUCAGAUUUUAUUCACUGCAAUACUUGCAGGCCUCUGAGAAUUCAUCUGGAGAGCCAGGAAACUGGGAUUCCAUGAUGCCAGGACUUGUAGUGAUGUUAGUCUCCAGGUGUAGAGCCAAGGAACUGUUUUUUUUUUUUUAAAUCAUGGCAAGACUCCCCUGGCUAAAGCACAGUACUUUCAGAGGCAGGGACUUUGGGUUAUAUGAUGGCAGGACUCUUAGGCCUGCUGGGGUCUAUGCGGAGAGCCAGGGAAAUUGGGUUUUGUGAUGGCAGGGAUGCUGGGUUCCAUGCAGAGAGCCAAAAGUGGCUUUUAUAAUGACAGUAUAUACAGUGCUUCUGGGUUUUUCUUCAAAAUCCAGGGAACUGCCAGGUGUAGUGGAGCACAUCUGUAAUCCCAGUGGCUCAGGAGGCAGGAAGAUCAUGAGUUCAAGGCCAGCCUCAGCAACAGUGAGGCACUAGGUAACUCAGUGAGACUCUGUCUCUAAAUAAAAUACAAAAAGGGGCUGGGGAUGUGGCUCAGUGGUCGAUGCCCCUGAGUUCAAUCCCCAGUACCAAAACAACAACAACAACAACAACCCACAGGGAACUGCAAUUCUAGGAUGUAGGGACUAUCUGUCCUGCUGAUCUUUAUGUGGAAAGCAUUGAAACUGAGGUUCUAUUUAUGGAAGAAAUCCCUGUCUCCUGGGGUCUACGAGAGAGACAGGUAAGUGGGUUUCUCUGGUAGCAGUGAAGCCAGAAUUAGACAGGCAGCCAGUGUAUAUAGAUAAAUUGAAUCAGGUUGGAUCUCGGAGGUCAAUUUGAGUGAGUAUGCGCAGUUGGAGACUGCCCCCUGAGGGAUCUUAUCAAGAACCUGUCCGUGCUCCAACCUGUUGCCAAGGUAACCUGUCCCAGGAAUUUCCCCUCCCUACAGGGAGCUGUAACAACAAAAGAAUCUGGUAAGCUUCUGGCAAAUACCAAAAUGAUCCUAACUUAACAGGCAGCACCUAAGAGCUGCCUUGAAUCAUUGUCACUGGGCCACCUGUUGAGAAUUGUCUCAGGUGGAGGCUAACCCCAGGAUCCUUUAGACCAUCUGAUUUUAAAAUGUUUAUCCUCCUAAUUCUGAAAAUUCUCUUCCAGACAAUGCCCUUAAAUUACCCAGAUGAAUCUUCCUGAAGUGAUACAAAGAAUAUACUAAGCUGAUUAAGCAUUUUCCUAAGCAGUCGAUUUAAAAAAAACAAAAAACAAAAAACCCAAAAUUCCUCAACAGAGUUUUUGGCAUGUUUACCAUCUGAGGACCACUAGCUGCACUCAGUUUGUCCCCUAUGCUGAAAUAGAGGUAGUCCUGGGACUUUUAGACCAAGGUGAAUCAGGGUUUCUGAGCAUGAUCAAAAGAAAAAAAAGCAAUUUCCAGAGAAAGUUUGUCACAGCCCUUUCAAUAAUCAUUGUCCCUGGGUCUCCUACAAUAAUACUUGAAAUCAGAUGGUUCUGACCCAGUGAGAGGCCAGGAUUAAAGAAAUAUGCUUAGAAUUUAAUUGAGUCCACCAGAGCUUCUUCCAAGAGAAACGCAUUCCACAGAGUGCUCCUCAGAGAACCUUUCCUUACCAGACUGUAAAUCUUUGACUUCUUUUCACUUGAUAUGUGACCACCUGGAAUUCAUUUAAACAUGACUGUGAAUAUAUGCUCAUACAUGUUCAGAGCAUAUUACUUAUACUUCCAUUUUUCCUGGACAACAUAUGCAGUCUUAUGUAGGACUUUGUUAUUCAUAACUCUGGGAUAAGAAUGAAAUGUUGUAUAGCUUUAAAAUAAAUUGCAUGCAUUCUAGAUAAUUUCUUUUUACAAUUUUAUAUGGUUUUAAAUACAUCACAAUAAUGAAAGAGUUAAAACAUUACCUUUCAAAUUAGAACUACCUGGAGCCCUUAUUUACAAUUUUUAAAAAUGAACAGCAGAAUCUAUUCUGCUAUUAACCAGAUGCAAUAAAACCAAGAUGCCAUUUCUCAUCAAAAAAAAAAAAAAGUUGUUAAUGUGUCCUUGGCUACUCUGUCCUGCCCUUCCCCCUUUUGUCCUUUUUCCCACCUUUUGUCCCUCCCACUGGGCAUUCCUGGGCCUAGUCACUAGGCUGGAAGGAGAAAGAUAAGGGAGAUAGAGGGAACCCAAAAGGCAGAAUCUGUGGAAGGGGGAGGUCUUCCCAUUUUUAUAGCUAAGGUCUUCUUUGAGUCCUUUGUUUCCCUUUGUCCUGCAGUGAUAGAAUGUAGGUGGGAAGGCCAAAAGGUGGGAGAUAGAUGGCUGGAGGAGUAUCUGGGCAGGAAUGGCCUGGGGUGGUUUGAUUAGCACCUCCCUGUUUGCUGGGAGCUGUUUCAUUAACAGUUCCUUAGACUGGGUUCCAGGCCUUGGGGACAUUAACAUUUCAAUUUCCCCAAGUGCUGCUCUGGUUCCUGGACUCCAUUCUCGAUAAUGGUCUCCAUUUUCUUUAUCUUACUUGAUAUUAGACCAGAUUUACCUAACUACACUAACUACCUGUCUUUAAAUAUGGCGUCAGUGGUAUCAGCAGGGCACUCAGUUCCUCUGAACUCUAUGUUUAGAAAAAUGGAACUGGGGUUCUCUUGAUGGUAGGACUCACAGUGAUGCUGGGCUUUACAUGAUGACCUAAUAAAUUAGAGUCUAUGACAGCAGUACUCACUGGGAAUCUUGGCUUUUUGUGGAGCAUCCAGAACCUGGGAUUUUAUCAUGGCAGUAUAGCUGGGGUCUAUGUAGAGAGCCAGGGACCUUGAAUUGUGGAGAGCAGGAUUUGCAGAGAUGGUUACCUCCUCAUGGAAUGUCAGAAAACAGGAUUGAGGGAGCCUUCUGGCUGGAGUGAUGACGAGAUACACAGUAAGAUGGACCUGAAACAAUGGUGAGGAUUUUAAUUAAGGCAAGGACAUUCCAGGCACUCAGAACAGCAAGAACUAAGGUGAAAAGAGAGGUAGAAAGUUAGAAAGACACAGGAUUUUUUUUAGAGGAGUGGUUCUUUUUUUGUCUCAGAGAGACUGAGGCAGAAGGAUCACUUGAGAGGUCUUGAAUUUGAGACAAAUUCUGGGCAACAGAGCACAAUCCCAUUUUGUUUUAAAUUGUUCAUCACAAUUUAAGAGCUUUUAUCAUAAGAUAACAUCAGUUUUUAUUGUUAUGGAAAUUAAAAUUGAGUAAAGUUUGAGUUACUGUGCCAAUUCUUUAUGGCUGCUCAAGGAAGUUGCCACAGAUAGUGACUUAAAUGACAAAAAUUUAUUAUCUAGGUUCCUGUAGUAAGAAGUCAAAGUUUGAGUUUCACAGGGCUAAAAUGAAGGUAUGCAAGACAGCAAUUUCUAGCUCCCAAGAUCAACCUCAGCUCCCUGGGAUUAUAGAUGAGCACCCCCAAGCCCAGCAAAAGAUUCUUAAUCAUAUCUACAAAAUCCCUUUUGUCAUUUAAGAUAACAUAUUGAAAGGUUCCACAGAUGAAACAUGUAUAUAUCUUUGAAAGACCAUUAUUCUUCUUACACAAUUAGUAAUUUACUAAUUGCACAUUGGCACACUCUCAUAAAUCCUAGGGACUUCAGAAGUUGAGGCAAGUGGAUCAAAAGUUUGAGGAGAGCCUAGAACACUUAGCCAGACCCUGUUUCAAAAUAAAACAGAGGGCUGGGGAUGCAGCUCAGUGGCCCACAACCCUGGGCUCACCCCUCAGUACCACAACACACACACACACACACACACACACACAGAGAGUUAUAAAUGCAUUACAGGUUAACAUAAAAUUGUUAUAAUAAAUAAUAAUCAAAAAGGUGAGAAGAGUGGUACUGUUUUACUCUUUUGCAAAUAUUUUAAAGUCUAGCAUGAUAAAAUACCAGAUUCUUGAAAUUUUGCUUCUGCAUUCAGUUUUUUUGUGUUAAUAUAAGUUUCUGGUCAAAUCUGCUGUACAAAUAUGAAAUGAUGAGAAUGAAAAGGCAAAUAAUGUAUCAUGAAAAGUUUUCAUUUUAUGGACCUUCUGAAAGGGCCUCUUGUUCCAUAGGGGCUCCUGGAUUUUACUUUUGAUGGUAAUGUUUGAGUUUGUCUGAGAUAUAAGGUGUAUGUGUGGACAAUGACCUUGGAACUAUUGUUGUCAUAUUGAUCUCCCACCUAUGGUGGCCACUGAGUCCCAAAAUGUCUGUAAGUUAUACUGACAUCAAUAAAGGCUUUAUUAAUUGGAAAAGGUGUCACCAUGUUGUUUUCUUAAAUAUUUCUUUAGUUGUAGUUGGACACAGUACCUUUAUUUAUUUAUUUUUAUGUGGAGCUGAGAUUCAAACCCAGUGCCUCAUGCAUCAAGGCAAGUGAUCUAUCACUGCGCUACAACCCUAGUCCACUCUGUUGUUUUUAUUUUAUUAUUUUUGCAGUAUUGGGGAUUGAACCUAGGGGCAAGUGCUCCGCCACUAGGCAAGAUCUCUAUCUCUCCUUGCCCUUUAUUUUAGUGUUAUUUUGAGACACAAGGUCUGGCCAGGUUGCCCAGGUUGGCCUUGAACUUUCUAGGACUCCUCCUGCCUAAGCUUCCCAAGUAGCUGGGAUUAUAUGUAUGCCCUACAGUACUGGCUCACCGCAUGUUUUUAAAUGGAGAAAGAUAUGAUUUAAAUUUACAAGUUACUUUAGUAGAGUCCUGGUAACAUUUUGUGGCAAAAAAGAAAAACCAUGUAAUUUUCACAUGGAGGGUGAGAAUAAAAAAAUUGACAUAAUGAGGAAUUAAGAAAGUAAUAUUUCAGGAUUGAGCUCUUGAAGCUGAAGAGGUUGCUAAAGAUGUUCAGGUGAAAGGUGUGGCUGUGACUGCACAGGGCUAUAGGACCAGGUAAGUGCUCUUUGGCAUGGAGAGGUUCAAGGAUGAAUGUUAGAAAACUCACCACACUGGCAUCCCCCUGCAAGAAGGGGGCCACAUGGAUGGGGUGGCCCUGCUAAAAUUACCAAACAAAACAAGAGGCUGCUCUGGAGGCCUUUAGGUGAUGAUAUGUGAAACCAAGUAUCACACAGAACACAGACCUCCAUAAUUAUGUGAUUCUAAAUAAUUUCAAACUCAUUUCUUUGUUUUAACAAUGAGAAUAGUAGCACAGUCAUCUUCUAUAAAAUACCACAUGGUAAUAAAUUACUAGCGAGGACUUGGCAAACACAGGUUAUUAAGUUCCUAUGACACUGAGAUGCAAUGCUGUUACACUGGAGCCUUAAUUCGUGCUCAACAGUCAACGCCUUGGGCUUUGCUUGGGCUCCGUGAGUGGUUUCUAGUGAGUCUCUUCUUGGGCUCAGAGGACAAGGCCGGCACCCCGACUGCAGCGAGCAGCACCACCCCAAAGGAGCCACUCCAUGGUCUACCGACUCGCCCAAGUCGAUUCCUUUCUAUGGACCCUCCCGCUGCAGGGACACCGGGCAGCCUCGGCUUUAGCUUUCCCCGGAGUCCACUUGGGAGGUGAACCAUGGUCUACAUUUCCUGGGUGGCCCUGGAUGGCUGGGUGCAGUGGAACCAGCUCUGUAGGUAGCUCAUUGGAACUUGAGCCCUCCCACAAGUUUGGGGAAGAUUGAGGGUCUGAAGUUUCAGUUGAUCACCAUGAGCAAUUAUUUAUAAAUCAUUGAAUGAAAAGCAAAAGGACAGGGGUUAAGGACCCUCCAUGUUGCUGAAGGUGCUAGGAGGUGGUACCUGGAGAGGGCAUGAAGUGACAUGCCCUUUGUGACUUCUUUUCUCUGAUUUUUGUCACCUGCAUGUUCAAGUUUAUUAUUUAAGAUAUGUUUGAAAGAUAGGCUUUGUGUGAAUUGGCAGUACUAAGUACACUGCUUUCUGACUCCUGUGAGCCACAUCAGAAAAAAGAAGGGGCCUUGAAAGCUAACCUAUGUGUCCAAGUUGAACAAAGUUGAGGAUCAUUUGGAAACCUGUUACUUCAACUGUGACAGCUGCUUUCAUCUACAGGUAAGUACUGCUAUGUUGGGAGUUUGUAUAGGAUUGAGGAUAGGGGUUGGGUUAGGAGUUACAGAUCCAGAAGGGGUUUAAAUUGCUCAUGGAAAGGGUUGGAAGGAUAAAGGGAUAGAAAUAGGGUAGGAUUAUGUUAGGGUUACUGAUAGGAGAUAAGAUUAGAGUCAGAAUCUUGGGGAAGGUGAAAGCCCUAAGGAGGGUUAGGAACAUGAUUUAGACAAGUAAUAUGGUUUAUGAAGUGCUCUAGGUUUGGUGGUAGGAAUUAAGGUUUAAAUUUAAAUACAAAAGAAAAAAUAGUUGCAAUAAAAAAUGGUAAAAAAUUUGAAGAUAGAAAAUGAGGGUUAAGGA
rnacentral:lncRNA from 1 species